rnacentral:rRNA from 1 species
AACGCGAAGAACCUUACCUGGGCUCGAAAUGCUAUGGACCGGGGUAGAAAUAUCCCUUCCCCGCAAGGGGCCGUAGUAUAGGUGCUGCAUGGCUGUCGUCAGCUCGUGUCGUGAGAUGUUGGGUUAAGUCCCGCAACGAGCGCAACCCUUAUCUUCAGUUGCUACCAUUUAGUUGAGCACUCUGACGAAACCGCCUCGGAUAACGGGGAGGAAGGUGGGGAUGACGUCAAGUCCUCAUGGCCUUUAUGUCCAGGGCUACACACGUGCUACAAUGGCCGGUACAAACCGUCGCAAACCCGUGAGGGGGAGCUAAUCGGAAAAAGCCGGCCUCAGUUCGGAUUGUAGUCUGCAACUCGACUACAUGAAGCUGGAAUCGCUAGUAAUCGCGGAUCAGAACGCCGCGGUGAAUACGUUCCCGGGCCUUGUA